GACUGCCGGUGGACAAACCGGAAGGGAAGUGGGGAUGACGUCAAGUCCUCAUGGCCCUUAUGGGUAGGGCUUCACACGUCAUACAAUGGUCGGGACAGAGGGUCGCCAACCCGCGAGGGGGAGCCAAUCCCAGAAACCCGAUCGUAGUCCGGAUUGUAGUCUGCAACUCGACUACAUGAAGUCGGAAUCGCUAGUAAUCGCGGAUCAGCAUGUCGCGGUGAAUACGUUCCCGGGUCCUU
rnacentral:rRNA from 1 species